AAUGAACGCUGGCGGCAGGCCUAACACAUGCAAGUCGAACGGAUCCUUCGGGAUUAGUGGCGGGCGGGUGAGUAACGCGUGGGAACAUACCCUUUGGUACGGAAUAGCCUCGGGAAACUGGGAGUAAUACCGUAUGUGGUCGAGAGACGAAAGAUUUAUCGCCAAAGGAUUGGCCCGCGUUGGAUUAGGUAGUUGGUGGGGUAAUGGCCUACCAAGCCGACGAUCCAUAGCUGGUUUGAGAGGAUGAUCAGCCACACUGGGACUGAGACACGGCCCAGACUCCUACGGGAGGCAGCAGUGAGGAAUCUUAGACAAUGGGGGAAACCCUGAUCUAGCCAUGCCGCGUGAUCGAUGAAGGCCUUAGGGUUGUAAAGAUCUUUCAGGUGGGAAGAUAAUGACUGUACCACCAGAAGAAGCCCCGGCUAACUCCGUGCCAGCCGCCGCGGUAA
rnacentral:rRNA from 1 species